AGAGUAGGCGAGAUGGUUGCGAAUUGUGCAAGCCGUUCGAGGAAAGUCCGGGCUUCCGAAAGACCAAACCUGCUGGGUAACGCCCAGUGUGAGCGAUCGCGAGGAUAGUGCCACAGAAACAUACCGCCCUCAUGAUUGUAGAUUUUGGAUUGUAGAUUUUAGAUUGAAUCGACAAUCUGCAAUCAACAAUCUGCAAUUCUUGAGGGUAAGGGUGCAAAGGUGCGGUAAGAGCGCACCAGCAGCAUCGAGAGGUGCUGGCUCGGUAAACCCCGGUUGGAAGCAAGGCCGCAGGAGCAACGGUUGGUCUUUUACCGGCUCCGGCAGGAGGCAACUUCUGUGAGUCCGCUGGAGAUGUUUGGCAACAAACAUCCUAGAUAGAUAACCGUCCCCUGAUUGCAUUGCAGUCAGGUGAACAGAACCCGGCUUAUGUCCUGCUCUUCCU
rnacentral:RNase_P_RNA from 1 species